CUCUAACCUCGCCGAGCUCCUCGCAGGGCGGCGGCGGGCAGUGCCGGGCACGGCCGCAGCAGCGCUGCCUCCCGCUUGGCGCCAAAACCCCCGGAGCGGCCGGGCCGGGCGGGCGGCGGCCUGAGGGCCGCUCUCCGGCCCAGCGCCGACCCCGUGGGGCGCUGCUCCUGGGCGGCGGAGCGGGCGCCGGCCGGCUGCGAGGGCGAUGCCUGGGCGGCGUGAGGCCGGCUGCCGGGAUGGCGCCGGGGAGGGGGCCGCCGGGUUCCCGGCUGCAGGGCGGCAGCGCCGUGUGCGGGAGGGGGAGCGGCAUGUUUGUGCUUUUUCACGGAGCCGGGCUGCUCAUGGCUGCGCUGGUCUCGUCUGCCUGGUCCCACCGGGUGGCGAGGCCUGGCCGGCGUGGUACAUCGGGACACGGGGGCAGCGGUGUGCGGGGUGGCACGGGCGCUGUGGCGGGCAGGGGCGGGCGGCCUUGCUGCAGGCAGGCGGUGGGGGAAGAGCGAGAGCGGCCUCGACGUCCAAAUUUUUCUUCCUCGUUGUUGGCAGAUGCGUUUCUCAAACGUUAAUUUAGUUAUAAAUCUUCAGGAGAAGCUUGAACAUGCAGACUGAGGGAGUCCUCGCUAGCCAGCUCAGGAAAUCCUUUCGUGCAAAAUGUAUUUGUAAUUUAAUAAUCUUCCAUAUUUCGAAGAGAUGGGGUAUGUCUGGAAAGUCAGUAGCAAAGUGGGAUAUAUCUGUCUGUUUUGAAUCUGCAUUAUGUGCCCUGCAUGUCUGAGUAUAGGUGGCUAUAAUGUGUUUUCCAGAUGCUCGCCCUGCUCAGAGAAGGUGCAUGACAACUGAAAGAAGAUGACUUUUAACUGAUGAAGACUAAUUUAGGAUGAUCAGCUGACUAUUCUUGGUUACUCGAACCAGCUAAAAGCAUCAUUUGUCUCAGUUUUGAAAAUCUCUUAACAAAUUUUCUAUAGAGCCAAAUUAAAGGCAGGAGGCUGGGACCAAUCUGCAUGGAGGGAUGGGUUUUUCCAUAGGAGCUGUGCAUGUGUGAUGGGCCUUGCAGGGGCCCAGCAGGGGGGCUGGCAUGGCCUGCCAGUCACCCAGUAGAGAUGCAGGAGGCUGAGGGGAUGGAAAGGGGUAAAUCAGAUUAUGGUGAAGUAUGCCAAAUUCCAGAUUUACAAAGUGUGGGAGGAAAACACACAAAGACUGAGGAGUUCUCUGGUGCUACUUCUGGUGUAAUAGCACGUGGGUAAGAAAUUGCUCUCCUGCACCUGUGUUCCUUGUCUCACUGCAGUGUUGUCCUAGGGGACUUAAAGCCUUGAACCUCCAUAGCCUCUGUGAAACCCGCUCAGAAGGGUUAUAGGCUGAGAGUUGCAAGAAACACUCAGGGUAUCUGAUAUUGAUUUGGAAACCCAGAAGGGUGUUCCCAGACAAAGCAUUUAAAUCAGGUUCUGUGUCCAGGCUUAGAUAAAAUGAUUCUGUCCAGGCAUAAGGAUCGAUGGAUUGGGGUGUUCUCAAUGGACAGGUGACUGUAAAAGUGGGAUACACAGUUCAAUUUUAACAAGGUUGUGCUGAUUUAAUAAACAAAUAAGGCCAACAUCAAGCAUUUAAUCCUUUUCCUAAUCCAAACUUCAGUGGCCAUUUAGAUUUGCCUUAGAGCUGAAGUACCAGACUAGCUAUCAACUCUGUCGCUAAAUAAUAUGUACUAUCAGAACUACUGUAUUUUAAUGAAUUUGGAGGUUUUAACUUUACACUUGUUAUAUUAGGUACUUUGCUUCCCAAAUCAGAUGACUAAUAUAAACAACUAAUCUGGGAUAGAUUCCCUAUUUUUAAUACACUUGUAUUAACACAAUAAAUCAGAAGCAAAUCCUAGAAGAUUAUUCUGUAACUAAAAAAAGAAAGUAUGUAUCAAACAUCUAUAUGAGUGGUCUUCAAUUAAAACAGAAAAAGAGAGAAUGUAAGUUAGUAAAAAUGAUGCAAGAAAUAAAUCUAAAGUGACCUUUCCUGAGGUUUUUUAUGACCCAAGCAUAAAGCUAGGAAGAUGUUAGGCAGACUUCUCUUUGGGCAGAAUUGAAGUAUUGCUACGGGUGUUAUAUUCUAGAAAUUUCACCUAAGUCUCUGAACUUCCUGGUUUUUGUUUAUUUUCAAGUAUUAUUUCAUUGUUAGUGAAAAGCAGUAUUUUAUGUAUAUCAUUAAUAGGACCUACGAUGUCAUAAUAUUUUCUUGUAAUCUUGUGGUUACAAGUUUUUCACAGACACCAUCUUUACCUAGAAAUUUUUAUACAACAAGUCAUGAAGUAGGAAUAAGAAUGAAGAGGUAAAGGGCUGCACUCCCACAACUGGCUUUUAGUCUAAUGACAAACACAGUACAGAGCCUCUAGUAUGCACUUGUAGUCACUUUUAUUUUCUCCAGAAGAGUAACUCUUGCAUUCUAAGGUAUUUGUACAUUGAAACUAACUCAUAGUUAGAUGUGACAGUUCGAAGUUUUCACUUGAAAGUGCCAGCCAGUUUGCUCAUUCAAUUAAAAUUGUAUUUCAUUGUGAGCAAGUUGUUUGUGAAGCCCUACACUGGAGUACUCAUGAUUGUAGACCAAGAUAACUUUCUCUUCUUGCAGACUUCAGAUAAAUAGUGAAGUUAGAAAUUACUGUGGAGUAGUGUUCACAGAUUUUUAAUCCUUGGGAACUUGUAUCUGCAGCAUAAUACAGAAAAAGUCCUGAAAUACAUCAGUAGAAAGCUGAGUAUCUAGGAGAGGUUCACAUAGAUUUCUGCUUUCACAGGUAGUGAUUAGUCAGCACUAUGGAAACUUUGACCACUCCUCAGUGUCAAUGUUGUUGGGAGUCCUUAGCCAUUAAACGUAGGUGCAGUCUCUGCUGGUAGGCUGUUCAAUUCCUGCUAUAAUUUGCUGUCUGACUGUAAGUUCUGGUAUCAACAUAACCUUACAGAUGCACUCUAGGCCCACAGCAGGAGUAUUUUGCCAGCGUAUUGGUAUAAAACUGUCAGAGCACUUUCAGGAUAGCCAUUAAUUUGGACACUGUUACUCAGAUAUAUGGUGUUUUGAAUGAGUCUUGGACAAAUUGCGAUCCGCAAAGUGGUUGAGAGAGUAGGUGCAAAUUCUGUAAUCAUGGGAUGAUUAGGCAAUGGUCCCAUCUCUCAGAAGAGGAGCAGCAGGAUUUGUACUUCUACACCAUUUGAAAUUCUAAAGGGCUAAAACAAAACGUGUGGUUCUGAUAUCACACCCAAUUAAGGGAUGUAUGAAUGAACACUUAACUGCCAAUUAGCUUGAAUAUAUUUGUGGCAUUUUCAGAAUGUGCUAACAUAAAAGCUUCAGAUAAUCUGACCUGUGGUACUCUUAAUCUGAAUAGUCCUGAAAUCUGCUUGCAGAUAUGAUUACAGCUGCGAGUGUCUGGUUUGUUGCCUUUGCUUGUUUGACCUUCACCCUUCUAAUUUAAGCAGGCAGCUGAGAUCUGACUUGAACUCUGCUUCUUGUACAGCUGUAGCCAGGUUCACAUGAUCCCUUGAGUUUUAAUGGAUGGCUCUGUCUAAUAAUAAGACCCAGUCCUUUAGUCUUUGCUCAGAUCUUAUUGAGUUCCUACCAGGACAGAUUUCUGUUGGAAUUUAUUUACUUUUACUCCCAUUGUUUUUAUUGGAAUGUAUUUACUCCAAUCUGUUUGUUAUUUGUUUGUUUCUUAAUAUAUAUUAGAUUACCAUUACAAAUGUAAUUUAUAAGCAGACUGAAAUAAAGGGUGCUGAACACUCUUGUGAGGCAGGCUUGCAGGGUGCUGCUUUCUCUGCAUCAUAUCAGGAGAGGUUAGAGGAAAAUGCCAAGAAAAGGAGAAUGUGGUGAGUUUACUAGUAGAGGAAAUAACACAGCACAAGGUUUUCAGAACAAAAUGGCUUUCAGGUGAGGCAGAAGAGAGUAUGGAGUGAUUCCUUUAAGCACAGAAAAUCCUUUAAUUCAUGUUGAUUAAAUUAAGCUAUGCACACAUGUUUUCAGGAACAGCUUAAUGGUUGCCCUAAGGUCUUUGUUAGUACUGUAAGCAUGGAUAGUAGUAAUGACCAAGAACUAAAUAGUUGUAUUAAGACACAACAGUGUGUCAGGAACUGCAGAAUAUGUCAUAUCUGUCAGUCAGCUGGGCAGACAAGUAAGAAAUCCUAUCUGGUGGGUUAGGAAAGCACUUGUCUUCCUAAUAAUAGCUAUGCUCUUGAAAGCGUCUGCUUUGCAGAACCAGGUGGUGGAGCGUGGUCCUUCGCUAUUGAAUUUUUUAAGUCACACUCAAAACAGGUCGGGGGGGGGGGGGGGAAGCUUAAUUACUUGUUUUCAGCUCUAGCAUUUAGCCAUUUUUGGUACCUAGCAGGUUGCUUUCUCGCCAGUUGCUUCCUAAUCAUGAAUGCUUUUUUUUUCCUCAUUAUGAAAGCCUAUUUAUUUUGACAAUGAUACACAUUUUUCCCUGCAAUACACCAGUUCUUCUGAACUCAGUAAUAACCAAACACUGGAAAAUAAUUCCUAGUCUUCAGUUUUGCACGGAAGUUUUCUCUCAACUUUUUGACUUUGGUAUUACUCCUUGUUUCUGGUUGUCUCUCCUCUUUGUUGAUUCUCUCACCCAUGCAGUUGCACUUGGCUCCUUCAGUUAAAAAUAUAUUAAGUUUGCUGCACUGGAUCUUCAGGGAUAUCCCUGAGGUUUCUAAUUAAAACUUUGCAGUGUAACAUAUCUUUGACAACAGCACCUAAUUGUUUUAACUACCUAUUUUUAUAAAAGAAUUGAUGUACUUUACAUCUGUUGUAAGUUAAUGUAGGACAAAAAUGGGUUUCUUCACAAUGUGCAUUGCCAUAAAAAGCUCCAGAAGUGUCCCAUGCCAGAGAGUGUUGGCAGUGAAAUUACUCUCAUCUAAGAAUACACCAAGAAGUGUGUUUUGUCCCAAAACCAGGGACUUACAUGUUUCUCCCAUGUCCUACAUUGACAAAGCAAAACCUGUAAGAGGGUGGAGGACUUGUAUUACCUCAAGAAGACAAUCAGGUGGAGACACGAAGUACUUCCUUCAAAGACAGGAGUCCCACAGCUUGCUGACCUUUCAUGGAGUAUUACCAGUUCUGAAUAAAGGGAAGGACCAAACACUAUAUGGGUGAUACACUCCUUUGAAACUGAUCCCUAGACAUAAUCUCGCUAAAUAUUAUUUUGCUCUGGUUUUGGUAAGGAGGGCUUUCUCCUGUGCUGUCCGAAAAUGUCAUUAUUCUGAGUAAUGUUUGGAGAUAGGGUUAGUUGUCAUAGAAUUGUAGAAUAGUUUGGGGUGGAAAGGACCUUUAAAGGUCAUAUAGUCCAGCCGCCCUGCAGUGAGCAGGGACAUCUCCAACUAGAUCAGGUUGCUCAUCUAACCUGACCUUGAAAGUUUCCAGGGAUGGGGCAUCUACCACCUCUCUGGGAAACCUAUUCCAGUGUCUCAUCGCCCUCAUCACGGAGUAUUCCUUCCUUACGUCUGAUCUAAAUCUACCUUCUUUCAGUUUAAAACUAUCACCCCUUGUCCUAUCGCUACAGACCCUGCUAAAAAGUGUGUCCCCACCUUUGUUAUAAGCCCCCUUUAGGUACCGGAAGGCCACAAUAAGGUCUCUCCAAGGCCUUCCCUUCUCCAGGCUGAACAACCCCAAGUCUCCCAGCCUGUCUUCAUAGGAGAGGUGCUCCAGCCCUCUGAUCACCUUUGUGGCCCUCCUCUGGACUCAUUCCAACAGGUCCGUGUCCUUCUUAAGUUGGAGGGGCCCAGAGCUGAACACAGUGCUCCAGGUGGGGUCUCAUGAGAGCAGAGUAAAGGGGGAGAAUCACCUCCUUCAACCUGCUGGUCACUAUUUUCACUCCAUCAUAGAACGCCAUGCCGUGAGGUUGGUCAGGGAUCACUUGCCCUUGGUGAGGCCAUGCUGGUUGUCUCAAAUCACGUCUCUGUCCUACGUGUGCCUUAGCAUAGCUUCUAGGAAGAUCGGUUCCAUGACCUUUGCAGGUACAGAUGUGAGGUUGACAGGUCAGUAGUUCUCAGGGUCCUCCUUUCUACUUUUUUUAAAAAUGGGUGCAAUGCAUCGCUUUUUCCAGUCACCAGGGAUUUCACCUGACUGCCAUGACUUUUCAAAUAUCAUGGAGAGUGGCUUGGCAACUACAUCAACCAAUUCCCUCAGGGCUCUGGGAUGCAUCUCAUCAAUCAGGUCCCAUAGAUGUAUGUAUGUUCAGGUUACUUACUUGGGUGGUCACGAAACUGAUCUUCUCUCACAGUGGGAGGGACUUUGCUCCCCCAGUCCCUGUCUUACAGUCCAUCCACUCAAGAGGUGUGAGAAGAGAGGUUGCCAGUGAAGACUGUGGCAGUAAAGUUGCUGAGUACUUCAGCCUUCUUCUUGUUUGUUGUUAACAGCUUGCCAGUCUUGCUCAUCAGGGAGGUACACUUUCUUUGACCUUGCUUUUGUGGCUGCCAUACCUGUAGAAGCUCUUCUUAUUCUUUGCAUCCCUUGCCAAGUUCAGGUCCAUCUGCACCUUGGCCUUCCUGAGCCUAUCCCUACACAACUGGGCAGCGUCCCUAUACUUUUUCCAGGAUACCUGACCCUGCUUCCACUGUCUACACAUUCCCUUCUUGCCUUUCAGUUUGACCAGCAGGUCUGGAUUCAGCCAUGCCAGUCUCUUGCCUUCCCUGCCUGAUAUCUUACACCUGGGGAUCAAGAACUCUUGCGCUUUGUGGAAAGUGUCCUUAAAGAUCUGACAGCUCUGUUCUGCUCCCUUGUCCCUGAGGGCAGUUUCCCAGGGGGUCGUAUUGACUAAUUCCUUGAAUGGUUGGAAGGUUGCUUUCCAAAAAUUCAUGGUUCUGGCUUUGCCUGACCCAUAUCCCUCAGGACUGCAAACUCCACCAGGGCAUGAUCACUGCAGCCCAGGCUGCCUCUAAUCUUGGCAUCACCGAUUAGCUCACUUGCAUUGGUGACCAUCAGGUCCAGUAUUGCAUCCUUUCUGGUAGGGCAGUUUAUUACCUGGCUUAAGAAGUAAUCCUCAAGGCAUUCCAGGAGCCUCUGGGUUACCAACAGAUUGGCAUGCUAUUUUCCAGUGGAUGUCGGGGUAGUUGAAGUCCUGCAGCAGGAUGAGAGCCUGUGAGCACGAUGCCUCCUGAAGCUGGAGUAAGAAGCCUUUGUCAAUAGGCUCCCCUUGAUCAGGCACAAGGUUCCCUUUGUUGCCUCCGUCUCUAAUUCUUACCCACCAGCUUUCAACCUGCUUGUGGCUAUUCUUCAGAGACAGCUAUACUUGCAGAGACAGUUAUACUUGCCACUGGGCUUUUGUGGUAUCAAGGCAUGUUCAGAAAUGACAAGGAUUGUCAUUGUCAAUAUAUUUAAGCCAUUGUGAAAAAAUAUAUACUUGCAAAUACACUUGUAAUUUGUAAAAUACUGUAUUGACAGAACAAUUGCAUUUGUUUUCUGUGCUUGCAAGUGAAGUAAAAUUAAUUUAUUGGCACCUGCACAUUGGUGAUUUCAUAGGAUUUUUAGAAGCCUCCUUGAUCUCUUGCUAGUUUUGAGCAUUCAGAAACUAAAGUCACAGCAGCCUACUGUGUGUUAUCUAUCCCACUCCUUCCUAGCUGCUCUCUAUUAUGAUGGCUUGUCAACAUUCACUCCAUAAGUACAUUCUCAAGGUUAUUUCCAUCUCUACUCCUGAUGUGUCCAAAGCACAUACAUUUACACCUAUUCAUUUCUGACAACCAAGUCUACUUUUCUCCAGUAAUAUAUUUAAUAUGAGCAUUUAUCAUCUUUUCUGUCCAGGAGAUAUGCAAGAGACUUUGCUUGCACCACAUCUCAAAAGCUUCAAUUUUCUUUCUGUCACUAUCAAUAAUUUCUCAGAAGUCACAUUCAUAAGUUGCUACAGCAGAAAUUAAACGUUUUACCAGGCAAAUCUUGCUACUUUUGAGGUGAAAUGUUUUUUUCAGGCUUUUAUAGGGAAGCUAUGGAUGGAUCAGUUAUUUUUCAAAUUUUUCCAGUUUCUAUUGGGUGGGUUGUGACUGGAUAAAUUUGAUCCCAGGUAACUGAAUUUAUGAACAGUCUCUGUAGCUAGACUAUUAAGCAUGAAGUUAGCUUAUAUUCUAUUUUUAUUAAUUAAGUGAAGUUAUUUUAUUUAUGGCACACUCAAGAAUAGCCUAUAUUUUUCAUUAGCCUUUUAGUGGUUCUCUAAUACUUGCUGUACAGCAGAAGCAGUUGUGACAAAAAGCAUUAUGUUGUCAAUGGUAGGUCAGUUAAAAGGAGUCCCUUUCAAAUUCAGCUUUUCCAUUCUGUAAAGUCCUUCCUAGAUUUUUUUUUCCCUGAGCCAGGCUACAAGGAAAUCUGCAGUUACCUGUAGUUAUAAUAGUACAUAUGGCUUUUUAUGUUUGCUUGGUAUUUUUUCAAAUAACAAGGCAGAUUUGGGGAACUACUGAGUAUGUGGGACUGCUUAGAGGAAAUACCACGGCGGAAACUGGGAAAGUUUGGUAAUAUAUUUAGCCCAUGGCAGCUACCUACUGGAAGGGAGACAGUAUGACCAGAGUCUUUCCCUCUGCCCCAUUAGAUGAGACCUGUUCUGUGAUCUGUUAAAAAGUGAGAACAUGUGUGGUACUAACAAAUUCUGAUUAAGAGACUCCUUCGAGAAAAGUAUUGAUCGUAUUUAUGAUGAUGCUGUUCCUAAUUCUUUCACAGAUAUAAUGUCUGCUGCUCACAGUAAAGAAAAGAAUGAUAUGAAACUUUACAAAUUAAUAUGAACUUGGAAUUUACCAUUAUGGUCAAAGAAAGGUGUUUGAUGAAUGGCUGUGCAGUUUCAGAGCUGUACUGUAAUGAUGGGAUCAUUUCACGAUGAUGGAUAGGUAUGUGGUGUACUACUCAGAGGCUUAAAAAGGGGUUGGAUUUAUCAAACUCAGGGAAGCAUCAAAGUGUUUGGGUAUGACUCUGUGAGCAAUAGAAUCAUUACAGUUUGCCUUUGAACAAAGUCAGGAAAUAUGUUGAUCAUACAGGUUUAUGUUGCUAGGAAAGCAACUAAUGAUCAAUGUGUUUUAUGAAUGGCUUGAGGGGAUAAUCAUUAAAACAUUACACCACUACACCAUUUGGGAACUUGAAUAUCAAAAUUGGAAUGUCAAACCCUUGUAAAGAACAAUUUGCAUUUAAAUUUAAAAAAAAAAAUAAAAUUACUUCUUUGGAUUGUUGCAGUUCCAGUCACUUCAUCCUUAUGAUUCUGCUUCAAUUAAUGCACUGGGCGUUUGCAUCCAUGCAGGUCAUCAGCCAGCAUGACGGAGGAGCACACUGAGAACAUAGUGAUCCAAGAACCAACAACAGGGAAUACUUAGUAUCAGUGGAUGGUUUUCUUAUAUUGAAGGAAUUAAAUUUUUACUUCGGAAAUCAAAUUCUGGCUGGGGGAAGAGUUAUCUUUUGUAGGAACACAAACUCCAAUAUCACGGACAAAGUAAUAUUAACUGGAGACACAGUCAUUUGAAGAAGUGAAGUUAAACAUCUUAAAUCAGCAUUAAGGUUGGCCCUGGUGGCUGAGGGAAGGACUCUCCAGGACCCAGAAAGAAGCUGCAGUGGGACUACGAGUGACUGAGGCACAAAGCUGUCCGUGACUUCUUGGUUGUUCUUGCGAAGCAUUUAAGAUUAGGUGCCAAAUAGGCAGCGCUUUAGUAGGCUGCUGAAGGCCACUUCUCGUUUCCCUCUCUGAAGGAGAAUGACGGACAAAUGAAGGUCGGGGGUGCCGCCUCGUUCUUUAAUGGGGAUGAAACACAAUGUGAGGGACCUUAGGGCUAGGAGACAACCUUACUCCCCUCGGGGGGAAAUGCUUCUCCCCUUUCACAGGAGUGUCGUUGAUUCUGUUCGCUAGGAAAAUCACAACGGGACACCUCCAGCCACCGUUCUCCUGAGGCAUUGUGCCCUAAGGGGAGACGGUUGAAUACAGAUGGCAAGGAGGUAUCUCAAGACAAUGGGGCGUAGGAAGGCACCCAUUUCCUUCUGGGAAUCGAAUGAACAAGUGUGAAGAAGUGAAGGCCCUGCUUAUUAUCUUGCUAGGACAGGCAGGGAGACAGAGCUGACAAGGAUGCCUAUGGGCUAUGUAAUGAAGACCUAUUCUUAGAAAUUGGUAAUGGGUAAAUGUCAUCGGUAAUUUUCCAAAUACACUUUAAUGCCCGUUACUUAACAGUGACAUUUCUGAGAUCAGCACACUUCUAUAAAAUUACAGAAAAGCUUCCCAGUAGAACCUCCUCGAGUGCUGGGUUGGCUUUUUUUUUUUUUAUGUUUUUACUUUUAAGAGCUUUCUUGUGUUUGUUGAUAAAUGCAAAACUCAUUCAGGUACCUAGUUCCCAUCAUGGUGGCUUCACAGCAGUUCUAAUUUAAGAACUACUUAUCAGCAUCUCAGUCUGUCAGGAGCAUGUCUCCCUUCCAUCUUUCCAUAAUGUUCCAUUGCACAUCUCCAUCAAAUGUCCACUGCUUGUUGCAGAUAGCGAAGCCCUCUCCUAACCAGCUGCUCCCUGAUUCUUCAGUUGCAGCUCACAACCUCCACAGCAAUCGCUGAUGCCAGGUCUCGCCAGGCUCAACUCGGCUUCCCAAAAAACUCCUCUGCCCGCCGCAGGGGUUUC